UACGUAGGUGGCAAGCGUUGUUCGGAAUUACUGGGCGUAAAGCGCGUGUAGGCGGCUCUUCAAGUCAGACGUGAAAGCCCCGGGCUUAACUCGGGAACUGCGUUUGAUACUGUCGAGCUAGAGUGUGGAAGGGGCGAUUGGAAUUCCUGGUGUAGCGGUGAAAUGCGCAGAUAUCAGGAGGAACACCCGUGGCGAAAGCGGCUCUCUGGGACGGUACUGACGCUGAGGAGCGAAAGCGUGGGGAGCGAACAGG
rnacentral:rRNA from 1 species